GAUGAACGCUGGCGGCGUGCCCAAUACAUGCAAGUCGAGCGAACGGACGAGAAGCUUGCUUCUCUGAUGUUAGCGGCGGACGGGUGAGUAACACGUGGAUAACCUACCUAUAAGACUGGGAUAACUUCGGGAAACCGGAGCUAAUACCGGAUAAUAUUUUGAACCGCAUGGUUCAAAAGUGAAAGACGGUCUUGCUGUCACUUAUAGAUGGAUCCGCGCUGCAUUAGCUAGUUGGUAAGGUAACGGCUUACCAAGGCAACGAUGCAUAGCCGACCUGAGAGGGUGAUCGGCCACACUGGAACUGAGACACGGUCCAGACUCCUACGGGAGGCAGCAGUAGGGAAUCUUCCGCAAUGGGCGAAAGCCUGACGGAGCAACGCCGCGUGAGUGAUGAAGGUCUUCGGAUCGUAAAACUCUGUUAUUAGGGAAGAACAUAUGUGUAAGUAACUGUGCACAUCUUGACGGUACCUAAUCAGAAAGCCACGGCUAACUACGUGCCAGCAGCCGCGGUAAUACGUAGGUGGCAAGCGUUAUCCGGAAUUAUUGGGCGUAAAGCGCGCGUAGGCGGUUUUUUAAGUCUGAUGUGAAAGCCCACGGCUCAACCGUGGAGGGUCAUUGGAAACUGGAAAACUUGAGUGCAGAAGAGGAAAGUGGAAUUCCAUGUGUAGCGGUGAAAUGCGCAGAGAUAUGGAGGAACACCAGUGGCGAAGGCGACUUUCUGGUCUGUAACUGACGCUGAUGUGCGAAAGCGUGGGGAUCAAACAGGAUUAGAUACCCUGGUAGUCCACGCCGUAAACGAUGAGUGCUAAGUGUUAGGGGGUUUCCGCCCCUUAGUGCUGCAGCUAACGCAUUAAGCACUCCGCCUGGGGAGUACGACCGCAAGGUUGAAACUCAAAGGAAUUGACGGGGACCCGCACGAGCGGUGGAGCAUGUGGUUUAAUUCGAAGCAACGCGAAGAACCUUACCAAAUCUUGACAUCCUUUGACAACUCUAGAGAUAGAGCCUUCCCCUUCGGGGGACAAAGUGACAGGUGGUGCAUGGUUGUCGUCAGCUCGUGUCGUGAGAUGUUGGGUUAAGUCCCGCAACGAGCGCAACCCUUAAGCUUAGUUGCCAUCAUUAAGUUGGGCACUCUAAGUUGACUGCCGGUGACAAACCGGAGGAAGGUGGGGAUGACGUCAAAUCAUCAUGCCCCUUAUGAUUUGGGCUACACACGUGCUACAAUGGACAAUACAAAGGGCAGCGAAACCGCGAGGUCAAGCAAAUCCCAUAAAGUUGUUCUCAGUUCGGAUUGUAGUCUGCAACUCGACUACAUGAAGCUGGAAUCGCUAGUAAUCGUAGAUCAGCAUGCUACGGUGAAUACGUUCCCGGGUCU
rnacentral:rRNA from 1 species